rnacentral:lncRNA from 1 species
AGGGAAUAAGACCUCUGAUGGAUUUCUGGCCUUCUUGGAGGACGGACAUCAGCGAAUGGAAGUUGUUCAUUUGGCAAAGACACGCAGUGUGGAUCUCCACAAGUGCGAAAGCGGAACGGAAAAGGAAGUAGGAGUCCCGGUAACGCUGUCACAGAGCGACUCAGAGCAGCAGCGAGAACAGAGGACCGAGAAAGCCUGUGGAGAGGCCGGCAGCGCUGCAGACCGGGAGGCAGAAACCAACCCAGCCUCACUGCAGAGCAGCCUGAGGGCCCUGCGCCUUCAUGGAAAUGCGAGCCCCCACCCUCUAUCCCCCGCCCCGGGAGGGCCCGGUUUUCUGUGCAGUACCCGCUUUGGGAACUGCAUCCAUGUGUGGCCUCAGGCCUCUUGCGUCCUGGAUGUGGAUUAAUCCUUUGAACGGCUUCGCUUCUGCUUCUGCAGGGCUGCAGCUCGGCGCAGGGCCCUGCCAAGCCACUAGAAAGGCACAGCAGAAGCGACGCUGAUCUCCCAGCGCCGGGUUCCCAUCGACAAUGUUUAUUUCUCUCAAUCUUUUAACAAUUAAAACACUCUCAAUUAGUAUACACG